UACGUAGGGGGGCAAGCGUUGUCCGGAAGUUAUUGGGCGUAAAGAGCGCGUAGGCGGUCCGGUAAGUCGGCUGUGAAAGUCAAGGGCUCAACCCUUGAAAGCCGGCCGAUACUGUCGGACUAGAGUCCGGAAGAGGCGAGUGGAAUUCCCGGUGUAGCGGUGAAAUGCGCAGAUAUCGGGAAGAACACCCGUGGCGAAGGCGGCUCUCUGGGACGGUACUGACGCUGAGACGCGGAAAGCGUGGGGAGCGAACAGG
rnacentral:rRNA from 1 species